AACGACUCCCGGCAACGGAUAUCUAUCCUCUCGCAUCAUUGAAAAACUCUCCGAAAUGCGAUACGUGGUGUGAAUUGCAUAAUCCCGUGAACCAUCGAAUCUUUGAACGCAAGUUGCGCCCGAGGCCACUAUUGCGAGGGCACCCCUGCCUGGGAGUCACCC
rnacentral:rRNA from 1 species